CUUGGUCAUUUAGAGGAAGUAACGGUCGUAACAAGGUUUCCGUAGGUGAACCUGCGGAAGGAUCAUUACAAAUCUUUGUGAGAGCUGUGUGCCGUUUACGGUCGCAGUGACUCCAACAUUAGCACAGGGUCGCAAGGCUCUGAUGUUUACGCUUGUUUGUUUGACAGAGUUAGUUGAGAAUUAAAUAAAGACAACUUUUAACAAUGGAUCUCUUGGCUCUUGCAACGAUGAAGAACGCAGUAAAGUGCGAUAUGUAGUGCGAUUUGCAUGAAUCUGUGAGUCAUCUAAUCUUUGAACGCAACUUGCGCCUUUUACGAGGCAUGUUUGUUUGAGUGCCGUACUCCUCUGCAGCAAUGCGAUUUGACUAGCGUCUUCGUUGACCUGGUUUAAACAGAGCUAGAGGAUGGUCAGUUGGACUAGUCCGAGUGCUAAGCAUUCUUGGGUCUAGGACAGAUUGCUCAUUAAUCUAUCUUUUAUUUUGGCCUCAAAUCAAGCAAGACUACCCGCUGAACUUAGGCAUAUCAAUAAGCGGAGGA
rnacentral:rRNA from 1 species